GCUGAAACUCAGGGGAGAAAUAAUCUGUUGGAGAUUCAGUUGGAGGAAGCAAAUCGUUUGGUGAAGCUAACACAGACUAAGGAAAACUGUAUGCAAGAAGAAUGCAGUUUGCUGCAUGGAAUGAUAGCAGAGCUGCAGGUUACCAUUCAGAAACACUAUGACGUGAGAGGAGCAGAAAGAACAUAUUGAGAAGCUGUUGUCAGAGAUGAAAACAAUGGAACAGGAGCACAAGGUGGAAUGUGUGAAGAUUCAGCAAGACAUGAGCAGGAAAUUUUAACACCAAGCUAGUGAAGAUCCAGAGCACUUCAAUCAAAUCACCACAUCAGGAUUCUUCUGCACUUCCACAGAAUAUCUUCAAGAGGAAGUUGCAACAUUUGCAAGAGGAAAAAAACCGAGAGAUUGCAGCACUUCGUCGGACCAUUCGCGAACUUGAACAGCAGCAAGAUUGCAAUCAAGGCUCAUACGUUAAACGUCGAAGGUUUUAGUAUCAACAUAUUUUGAUGCAUAGUCUCUCUGUAGGUGCAAUGUUAUCACCUUACCUAGAACCCACACUUCUGUUUUUUUGAGGAUCUAUUCUCAUUCUCUAUUUGUGGCUCUUGGUGUCUGGUAUGGUGUCCUUUGGUUGUUCAACUGAAUAUUUUUUUAAAAAUAGUAUUUCUGGUGAAAUGUUUAACUGCAAUAAAAUUCCAACAGUGGAAUAUCUAAUGAGUAGGGUUAAGAUGUUUGGUCAUUUUUAUAGAUAUACAUGAAAUUAUUGUGUAAUUCUUAUUGCAAUAUGCAACCACAUUCUGGGAGAAUUUUAAUGUGCAAGUGCAAAUGGGUUUGUAUAUGGGUAACAUGUUCAAACUGAAGAGAACAGAUUAUCAUAGCCCAAAUCGGGAUGAAAUGCAGGUAGGAUAGAAAGCAAUGGUUGCUAUGCAGGGUGUGGAUGUCUCUCUUCCCAUCUUUAGCCAUUUUCAUGAGACCAGGAUAGAGAGCCUGAUCUCCAAAAUCCACCAUCUCCUACAAAGGAGGCAGUUGAUAGCAUGUUCCACAUGUAUAACCCAACAUUGUAUUAAACACAAGGCCUUUUUUGAAGUGAACUUAAGAUGGACAGCAGUGAAUUGAGGGGAAUGUAGGUUAGGUUAUUUCAGUUUUGGAUUAGGAUUAUUCCACAGCACAGCAUCGUGGGCCGAAGGGCCUGUACUGUGCUCUACUUUUCUAUGUUCUAUGUCCGCCGACAGUGUAUGCUUUAUGGCAAGGAAAUAAAGCCACAGUAGUCCCAGAAAACCAUAGGGCUGCAUUGUCAUUAGAGAGACACAAGUGGCAGUGAUUUAUUCCAAGGGUCACCAUGCAUCAGGCAAGGGGGUAAGGUGGAGAAAGAAGGUUCUCCAUGGUAACAUGAGCAGGUACAGGAAUUGCAUCACACACCAGCUAUCCAGCCAACUUGAUUAACUGAUCUCCAGUGCUUCAUGAGAGAUUACAGAAUUACAACAGAAAAGGAAGGCAAUUUGUACAUGAUGGCAUUUCAAUCGAAACAUUCCCUGCAACAUUUUUAUACAAAAAUAGAAAAAGAUUGCAGGUAUUAUCAUGUACAUUUUGAAUUAUCCAAGAUACCAGAAAGAUAAACCAUGCAUUUAUCAGUUCAUUAUUCCUAUCUAAUUUUGCAUAUCAUGUCACGAUGCUGGUAUUGGACUGGGGUGGACAAGGUCAAAAAUCACACAAUGUCAGGUUAUAAUCCAACAGUGAUAAUGGGAACUGCAGAUGCUGGAGGAUCCAAGAUAAUAAUUUUACCAGGAUGCUGCCUGGACUGGAGGGCUUAUCUUAUGAAGAGAGGUUGACUGAGCUUGGUCUCUUUUCAUUGGAGAAAAGGAGGAGGAGAGGGGACCUAAUUGAGGUAUACAAGAUAAUGAGAGGCAUAGAUAGAGUUGAUAGCCAGAGACUAUUUCCCAGGGCAGAAAUGGCUAGCACGAGGGGUCAUAGUUUUAAGCUGGUUGGUGGAAAGUAUAGAGGGGAUGUCAGAAGCGGGUUCUUUACACAGAGAGUUGUGAGAGCAUGGAAUGCGUUGCCAGCAGCAGUUGUGGAAGCAAGGUCA